CUAAAUGAAGAGUAGAUUCCGUUUUAUAACCAAAUGUGCCUUUGUGAGUAGCCAAAUAGGUUAUAACAGCCAAAUUGUAACAACUGAAAAGCAUUUGGCUGCUGAAGGCAAUUAGUGAGUAGACCCCAUAAUAUAUGUACAGCUAAAUAUCAAACUCCUGUUAAUCUAUGACCAAACGAACUGAUCCAGAUGGAUUGAUUCAUUUGGGCGUAGAUUAACAGGAUACAACCAUAAAGAAUUGUGAAGUGGAGCACCUAUUUAGAUAUAGUAUACUUGUGAAUCACACUAAAAACGUGUACUUAUCUGAAAUAAAUCUUGCUGUGUAGCAUCACUUUAAACAAGAAAAUCAUAUGUUCA